UUUGUCAGUUCUUUGGGAUACUUUCUUAACAGUUAGGCUCAGCAUCUGAAGUGAGCUGAAAUAAAGCCAGCUGCUUGACGUUCUGCGGUGUUCUGAGUCUCACAGGUUGUGUCUUCAUCUAGAUCCGAAAAUGAGGAAGCCACACAACUGCCAGCUUUUCAACAGCACUGUAGUUCAGGCAUCAUUUCAGAAUUUUCCUCUGUGGUUAGGAAUGGCUUUAAAAUCAGUGAGCAGAGUAACUAGCUUGAACCUUGAAUGACCCCGUCUCUACUGGGAAGAUUGCGUGCUGUUGUCCGUCAAGCCCUUCACACAAUGACUGGAAAAAAAAAAAAAAAAACACAGAGGAGUGCUCUUUCCCUCUGCCAAAUGAGUCAGAAGCCCCCUGUGGUCAUUAGGAUGGAGGGCCUUGAACAAAUAGAGCAAAACUGAAAGGAAUGAGGGAGUCUGUUGGCUCAGGGGAAUGCAAUGUCCUGAAAACAAUCCUAAAGAAAAAAGUGACCAGAAUUUUGGAAACACUGAUGUUCUUGAGAAACAGAAGUAGGAGGAGGUGGGGUGUGAGCUCUGAAUUUUGGAUGAAUAUUGUGUUCAUCCAUCCAGAAGGAGGGCCUUCUUUCAGCUGCAUGAAUGCAUCCGUGAAUAUCCAUCUGGUUGGAGAAGAUAUUCAAGAGAUCUUUCUGUGGUUGGUGGAGGCUUAGAACCUGAAGCCUGAGAUCAUCUGUUCCUAGCUGGAGAGUGAAGAAACUGCCCUGAGAAAUCACCUGCAUAUGGGAUAGCUGUCUCACACUAUAGAACAAUGAGCAUCAUAGCAGAGGUUGACAUCAUCUUCUCAGAGGGACUAACAGCUGGUCAUGAAUUCCCUUUUUAUAGGCUUAGAUGUACACUGAACUGUUCCAGAAUGACGAGGUGUCGACAGCCUCUCUUGAACUCUGUAAUCCAAAACAGAUGCAGUUUUUUGUGAGGCCUAUGGCUUAACAUAUCUGAUAGCAUGCUAAGGGAUGUUUGGAGUGUGCUCUAGAAAUGUGAUGUUUGGUAUGUGGAAGAUCCUAAAAGAGUAAGCCCUGCAAAAUAUAUAAAAAUAUAUUUAAUGGAGCUGUAGUAAGCUGUGUAAGCUGUAGUAAGCUAUGCAAUUGAAUGUUUCAAGGUUUUACAGCAGCUGAGUGACUCACUGGAGAGCUCUGUUCUUCUAAGUAGAUACGAGCACUGAUAUAUAGAUUGGGAUCAGAGCUUAGUUGAGCUCGGGAGAUGUUCAUCUCCUUUAGGACUGUGCUGAUGUUAUUUCUACUGCCCCUUGCUAACUGCCUCUCCAGUAGCAGCUGUUAAUGAAGUGUUGUGGUCAGGAAGCCUCACAUACAGCAAUCGUGGCAGACUAUCCCUCUUUCAUUCACCUUUCAUCAGGUGUUUCCACACCAGCUAGGCAUGAUGUGCACAUUUCCUCCUCAGAAGCUGGGAAUGUAGAUCAGUGCUGCGGGAAGUGUGAGACAGGGCUGAAUGUCACAGUGGUUUAUUAUGUUACCUCUCAUUUUCAAAAUACCUGUGAGUCUGUGGGUAUUUUACUCUAACUUUCUUCAGACUUUUACGUUAGUCAUCUGUUUGGUUCCUCACUCCACACUUGAUGGAGCACAGAGAGAGGCUUUGUUUUGGGCUGACAUUAUGGUGCUGUAAAAGAAUAACUUCUGGAUAGCUGCCCUUCAUCAUUUGCUAAGGUAUAGUAUCACUGAAAUUAUACAUGUGAAGUAAAACAUUUUCUGUGCUAUGAUCAUUAAUAAAUCUCAUUAAAUGCC
ensembl:lncRNA